ACGACGUUACAAGGCAAAGCCAAAAUUCAAGGGAUCGAAUGCAAUAGGAAAAGAACACAGUCUGCGCGAGUGCGCGUUCAGAUACUAAAGAUAACCAUUCGACCGAGCGAAACGUCAGAGAGAAGCACAAGACCACGUCCUACACUAAAAGGUGUAGAAGAAUUUUUGUCAUAAUGGGAUCCUGUUUGCCAUGGUUGCUCAUAACCUCAUUUGUAAUAUUGGGAUUUGCUGGAGGACUGACAACAUCAUGGGCUUACUUUGAAUUUCCAACCAACGUGAACUCCUCUGUGAUACCCCCUGAAAACAUGACCUACAUUGAGUAUGGAGACACAAGGUACUAAAUGUCGCCUGCAAACUAC